UGAAUGCUAACGGUAUGCUUAACACAUGCAAGUCGAACGAAAUUUUUUAAUUUAGUGGCGUCCGGGUGAGUAAUAUAUAAGAAUGUUUAUUUUAAUUUUUGAUUAAAUACAAAAACUAAAAAAUUAAAAAAAUAAAGAUUUAAAUUAAUUUUUAAAAGAUACUAUUUUGUUAAAAAUAACAGCUUAUAUUAGAUUAGAAAUUAAUAAAUAUAAAAACUUAAUUAAGUCUAAGAUCUAUAAUUGGUUUUAGAGAAUGAUCAAUCACAUUGGGAAUGAAAAGGACCCAACUUUGAAAGAAGCUGCAGUGGGGAAUUUUGGACAAUGAGCGCAAGCUUGAUCCAGCAAUACCGUUUAAAUGAAGAAGGUUUUUACCGUAAAGUUUAUAUGUUAAUAAAUAUAAUGA
rnacentral:rRNA from 1 species